ACUACGGGAGGCAGCAGUGAGGAAUAUUGGUCAAUGGGCGGGAGCCUGAACCAGCCAAGUCGCGUGAGGGAAGACGGUCCUAUGGAUUGUAAACCUCUUUAGGCGGGGAGCAAUGCCGGGCACGCGUGCCCGGAGGGAGAGUACCCGCAGAAUAAGCAUCGGCUAACUCCGUGCCAGCAGCCGCGGUAAUACGGAGGAUGCGAGUGUUAUCAGGAUGUAUUGGGUUUAAAGGGUGCGUAGGGUGAUUUUUAAGUCAGCGGUAAAAGGUCGGGGCUCAACCCGGGCCGGCCGUUGAAGCUGGGGAUCUUGAGUGGGCGAGAAGUAUGCGGAAUGCGUGGUGUAGCGGUGAAAUGCAUAGAUAUCACGAAGAACUCCGAUUGCGAAGGCAGUUCACUGGACUGCAACUGACACUGAGGCUCGAAAGUGUGGGUAUCAAACAGGAUUAGAUACCCCAGUAGUC
rnacentral:rRNA from 1 species